CUGGAUGUGCUCGUUGGUCAUAGACGUCAACACGAACUGUUCAUAUGACUAGAGACACAUUCAGCU
rnacentral:pre_miRNA from 1 species